rnacentral:rRNA from 1 species
GGGGCCGCACAAGCGGUGGAGCAUGUGGUUAAUUCGAAGCAACGCGAAGUAACCUUACCAGGUCUUGACAUCCCGAUGCUAUUUCUAGAGAUAGAAAGUUACUUCGGUACAUCGGUGACAGGUGGUGCAUGGUUGUCGUCAGCUCGUGUCGUGAGAUGUUGGGUUAAGUCCCGCAACGAGCGCAACCCCUAUUGUUAGUUGCCAUCAUUCAGUUGGGCACUCUAGCGAGACUGCCGGUAAUAAACCGGAGGAAGUGGGGAUGACGUCAAAUCAUCAUGCCCCUAUGACCUGGGCUACACACGUGCUACAAUGGUUGGUACAACGAGUUGCGAGUCGGUGACGGCGAGCUAAUCUCUUAAAGCCAAUCUCAGUUCGGAUUGUAGGCUGCAACUCGCCUACAUGAAGUCGGAAUCGCUAGUAAUCGCGGAUCAGCACGCCGCGGUGAAUACGUUCCCGGGCCUU